rnacentral:rRNA from 1 species
CCUACGGGAGGCAGCAGUGGGGAAUAUUGCACAAUGGGGGAAACCCUGAUGCAGCGACGCCGCGUGAGUGAAGAAGUAUUUCGGUAUGUAAAGCUCUAUCAGCAGGGAAGAAAAUGACGGUACCUGACUAAGAAGCCCCGGCUAACUACGUGCCAGCAGCCGCGGUAAUACGUAGGGGGCAAGCGUUAUCCGGAUUUACUGGGUGUAAAGGGAGCGCAGGCGGCGUGGCAAGUCAGAUGUGAAAACCCGGGGCCCAACCCCGGGAGUGCAUUUGAAACUGCCAUGCUGGAGUGCCGGAGAGGUAAGCGGAAUUCCUAGUGUAGCGGUGAAAUGCGUAGAUAUUAGGAGGAACACCAGUGGCGGAGGCGGCUUACUGGACGAUGACUGACGCUGAGGCUCGAAAGCGUGGGGAGCAAACAGGAUUAGAUACCCCUGUA